GAUGAAGAACGUAGCGAAAUGCGAUAAGUAAUGCGAAUUGCAGAAUUUCCGUGAGUCAUCGAAUCUUUGAACGCACAUUGCGCCCGCCAGUAUUCUGGCGGGCAUGCCUGUUCGAGCGUCAUUUCAACCCUCAAGCCCCCGGGCUUGGUGUUGGGGAUCGGCGUGCCCUCGCGGCGCGCCGUCCCCUAAAUCUAGUGGCGGUCUCGCUGUAGCUUCCUCUGCGUAGUAGCAACACUCGCACUGGAUCGCAGCGCGGCCACGCCGUUAAACCCCCCACUUCUGAAAGUUUGACCUCGGAUCAGGUAGGAAUACCCGCUGAACUUAAGCAUAUCAAUAAGCGGAGGA
rnacentral:misc_RNA from 1 species